AAAAAGAGUUUUCGUUUCUAACAUUUGACCGUCCGUCUUAUUUAAAAAAUUUAUGAAAAAAAUUAAAAACACAAGUCACGUAUAAAAUAUUAAUCAUAUUUUAUCAUCUAACAACAAUAAAAAUACGAAUUAUAAAAAAAUUUCAUAUAAGACGGACAGUUAAAGUUGGACACGGAAAUCCAGGGUUUGCUUUUUU
rnacentral:pre_miRNA from 1 species